CAGAAUUAGACCAGCCAGGAUCGAUUGGUCAGGUCUGGGUGAAGGGAAAUGGAAGUCUACAGACGGGAAUAAUAGAUUGAAAUCCGAAUGUGGAACUUUGUUUUUGUCUGUGAGGAAAUACUUUAAGGGAAAUGUCUCUUCGGACCUUUUGUGUGCGUUACCUUUCACGCGCAAACCAUUAAUGGGACAAAGAACUCGCAGAUUCCUAUCAGAUUUGAUGAUUGAUUUGAUCAGAUGAGCAGCCUCAGUCAGUGCAGUGAACAGACCGACAACAGCAACAGCCUCCAUUCCAGAGCUGCCUCUCCUCAGCCCCUGACUGCUGCACUACAGCAUGUAGACAGCAGUGCUUUCUCCUGGAGCUUUUGCAAAUGAAAAUGGAGGACGUGUCUCUGUCCAGUAUGGACAACAGUAAGAUGGAGGGCUUUGCUCAAGAGAUCCUGUCUGACCUGGUGGAGGACGCCUGUUUGGGGCUUUGUUUUGAGGUUCACAGGGCUGUCAAACAGGGAUACUUUUUCCUGGAUGAUACAGACCAGGAGAGUAUGAAGG